rnacentral:rRNA from 1 species
GACGAACGCUGGCGGCGUGCCUAAUACAUGCAAGUCGAGCGAAUGGAAGGGAGCUUGCUCCCUGAAGUUAGCGGCGGACGGGUGAGUAACACGUGGGCAACCUGCCUGUAAGACUGGGAUAACUUCGGGAAACCGGAGCUAAUACCGGAUACGUUCUUUUCUCGCAUGAGGAAAGAUGGGAAGAUGGUUUCGGCUAUCACUUACAGAUGGGCCCGCGGCGCAUUAGCUAGUUGGUGGGGUAACGGCCCACCAAGGCGACGAUGCGUAGCCGACCUGAGAGGGUGAUCGGCCACACUGGGACGGAGACACGGCCCAGACUCCUACGGGAGGCAGCAGUAGGGAAUCUUCCGCAAUGGACGAAAGUCUGACGGAGCAACGCCGCGUGAGCGAAGAAGGCCUUCGGGUCGUAAAGCUCUGUUGUCAGGGAAGAACAAGUGCCAGAGUAACUGCUGGCACCUUGACGGUACCUGACCAGAAAGCCACGGCUAACUACGUGCCAGCCGCCGCCGUAA